GCUCCCCAUGAGUAACCUCAGUCUCCCAGUCCACAGUGGCCUAGAUGCUCCUGGAGACAGGUGCAUGUGCACUGAUCUGCACGGCUUGCUGGGUGCCCACAGUAAGAGUCCUUGCUGUCCUGUGCCCUCCCCACCUCUGCCUGUUCUGGGGGGAACUGAGCAUAGAACACCUGUGCUAUCUCAGCUGUCUACCAGAUGAACAGCUAGGCUUUGUCCGCUUCAGAGCCCUCAGAUCCAGAGCCCUGUGCCACUAGACCUGCGCUCCUGGGGACCACCUCUCCUGAAGCGAAUGGAAGACAGCUGACACCGUCUGUUGCUGGGCUCUAAGGUCGAAUUCGUAGGUGUUCAGGAUGUUUUGAAAGUAAUCCAGAUCACUCAUUCCAGGGAAGCCAGCUACUGUGGUGAAGUGCAUCUAAGAAGCCCUAUGAGAUCCAUGUGGCAAGGAGCUGAGAUCUCCUGCCAACUGCCAGUCAUCUUGGAUGUGGAGCCACCAGCUCUAAUCAAGCAUUUAGAUAUUUGCAGCCUUGGUCAACAUCUUAAUGCAUCUUGGGGUUAUGGAAGACCCCAAGCCAGAACCAUCAGCUAAGCUUCUCCUGAAUUCCUGAACCACAAAA